rnacentral:piRNA from 1 species
UCCAAUAGAGGAUGUGGCUUAAAAGAUAUG